rnacentral:rRNA from 1 species
AUGCAAGUCGCACGAGAAAGUGGAGCAAUCCAUGAGUAAAGUGGCGCACGGGUGAGUAACACGUGACUAACCUACCCUUGAGUGGGGGAUAACCUAGGGAAACCUGGGCUAAUACCGCAUAAUACCGAGAGGUCAAAGGAGCAAUUCGCUUAAGGAGGGGGUCGCGGCCGAUUAGUUAGUUGGCGGGGUAAUGGCCCACCAAGACUAUGAUCGGUAUCCGGCCUG